rnacentral:rRNA from 1 species
UACGGAGGAUGCAAGCGUUAUCCGGAUUCAUUGGGUUUAAAGGGUGCGCAGGCGGGGAUGUAAGUCAGUGGUGAAAAACUGCCGCUUAACGGUAGUCGUGCCAUUGAUACUGCAUCUCUUGAGUUUGGAUGAGGUAGGCGGAAUGUGCAGUGUAGCGGUGAAAUGCAUAGAGAUUGCACAGAACACCAAUUGCGAAGGCAGCUUACUAAUCCACGACUGACGCUGAGGCACGAAAGCGUGGGGAGCGAACAGGAUUAGAUACCCUGGUAGUCCACGCCGUAAACGAUGUUCACUCGCUGUUUGCGAUACACAGUAAGCGGCUGAGCGAAAGCAUUAAGUGAACCACCUGGGGAGUACGAUCGCAAGGUUGAA